AUCUAUGGCUAUGCUACCCUGAACAAGCCAGAUCCCAUCUGAUCUUGGAAGCUAACCAGGGUCGGGCCUGGUUAGUAUUUGGAUGAGAGACCACUUAGGAAGACCGGGUGCUGUAGGCA
rnacentral:rRNA from 1 species